rnacentral:rRNA from 1 species
AUUGAACGCUGGCGGCAUGCCUUACACAUGCAAGUCGAACGGUAACAGGUCUUCGGAUGCUGACGAGUGGCGAACGGGUGAGUAAUACAUCGGAACGUGCCCGAUCGUGGGGGAUAACGAGGCGAAAGCUUUGCUAAUACCGCAUACGAUCUACGGAUGAAAGCGGGGGAUCUUCGGACCUCGCGCGGACGGAGCGGCCGAUGGCAGAUUAGGUAGUUGGUGGGAUAAAAGCUUACCAAGCCGACGAUCUGUAGCUGGUCUGAGAGGAUGAUCAGCCACACUGGGACUGAGACACGGCCCAGACUCCUACGGGAGGCAGCAGUGGGGAAUUUUGGACAAUGGGCGAAAGCCUGAUCCAGCCAUGCCGCGUGCAGGAUGAAGGCCUUCGGGUUGUAAACUGCUUUUGUACGGAACGAAAAGCCUCUUUCUAAUAAAGAGGGGUCAUGACGAUACCGUAAGAAUAAGCACCGGCUAACUACGUG